UCAAAGACGGCCCCUGUGCGUCAGAAGAGCAGCAAACCAUCCCCAAGGAGCAGCAGAGCCCAGUGUUGGUGCUGUGGACUGGCUUGGAAGAGGACUACUGAGUAGAUAGAAAGAGGUCAACCCCACCCAACAUCAGCAACUACUGUACUGGCAUGGCUACGGCAAGCACCUCAGGGCAGAGCACCUUCGGGCUCGGGAGGAAAAAGAAAAACCCCGGUCUCAUGGAUCAGAUCACUAAGUUCUUUGGGGGAGACAAAAAGAAAAGGAGCAAGGGCUCGUUCCGGGGUCACCUGGCCACCUCCCCCCAGUCCUCCGCUCGCCGCCGGACCAAAGAAAAUGCUGUGGUGCAUUUCUUCAGGAGCAUUGUUUCCUCUCCUCGUCCUAAAUCCAGGGCCUCGUCACCGCGUGCUGAGAGCACAAAGUCGCCGGUCAGAAGACGCAGAGACCAAAGCACACUGUCCAGGAUCUUCAGCCUGGUGAGCUUACUGCACGCUUGCCUCAUUGUUUGACUCAACAUUUCUUCUCUCUAUCUGUAAAACUGGGCUUCAUCAACACUGUUUCCUGUCUGUGUUUGCCCGAAUGCAACAGUGAUGCUCUCAGCAGAGACCAGGAGAAACCAAGUCCCGUCCACCCCCUAAACGCUGGAGCACCAUCUUCUAAGUUCUCCGCCGUGGACCACACCACAGAUACAACGCCGAUGGGACAAGACGAAGGAGGGGAAACAGAUCUGCAAGCGGCAGACUCACAACCUCAAGAAAUGUUAACCCACUAACACCAUCCUCCUGUAUGUUUAGACAGAGACAUUGACAGAGUAUGAAACCACUCUCCAGGGAUCUAGCUGGUCACUGUGCCUCUGUUUUUUUUGUUCUUCUUUUUGAAAUCCUACUUCUACGGAUAUCUUCUCUAGCUGUUUAUAAGAAGUUUGGUCAUGCUUUUAGUUUUAUCUUACUGUAAAAACUCAAAACCCAUUUGAGUAUCUUAUGGUGCUAGCGUGUGCUGUCAGAGGUUUGUUCAUGGCAGAUGCUUGUUUUUCUAUUUGUCUCCCGUCAUAUGCAUUUUGUACAUGAGUGAGGCUUUAUGUAUGUCGUUGCUUCUUAGAAACACGACUCACACACCAACGUAAAAAUCUAGACAAAGAGUGGUCCUGUUUGUGGCUGUUGUGCUCGAGUGAAUCGUAUGUUGCAAAGCAUUUGAAAACACACCUGGAAACCUACAGUAUGUGAUGGACUCUAAUAUUGCUUUAAUUAUACUGUUUGUGUUUCAUUAUGGUUCAAUGUAAUUAAUAAACAUGUACAGUAUGAUUACAUUCAAGUUUAUCGGAAAAUAAAAUGCCCUUUUCAAAUGCACUGUUACAUAACUAAAGAAUUUCCUAAAAACAAAUGGUCUGUUCUCUAUAUAGUAGCUUUUGCAUUUGAUUUAAUUCAUUGUGAGUUAUCUGUUUGCAUCUUUUAACUUUGAAUGUUAUUUGUGUUUAAUUUAGAAGAUGACAGACACCAGUUUGUUUUAUCUGAUGGUCAGAUAGUAAGUGGCUCAAAGGUUUAAGGAGGAAGCACCAAGGUGGUUGGAGGAGUACUAAAGGACAGUAUGUUGAAGUGUUCUGACGCAUUAUUUGAUGAUUUCAUUUUGUUCAUAAUAAAUUGCAUUGCCUCUUCCAUUUGUACAUGCUCUGUUCACUUUAAUGGAAAAGUCAAAUGAAAUAUAAAUGUGUUUUUUUGCUGAUGUGGUGGUGCUACAGUAAAGUUUUUUUCCCUCUUAAUGUAAAAGUAUGUUUUUAAUGUUUAGCCUAACUGGAAAUAAACAUGUUAUGUCUUCUCUCAGUUAUUAAAUGUUUUAAAAUCUGA